rnacentral:rRNA from 1 species
GAUGAACGCUGGCGGCGUGCCUAAUACAUGCAAGUCGAACGAAGCUUCUUUAUCACCGAGUGCUUGCACUCACCGAUAAAGAGUUGAGUGGCGAACGGGUGAGUAACACGUGGGCAACCUGCCCGAAAGAGGGGGAUAACACUUGGAAACAGGUGCUAAUACCGCAUAACCGUGAACACCGCAUGGUGUUUAUGUGAAAGGUGGUUUCGGCUACCGCUUUCGGAUGGGCCCGCGGCGCAUUAGCUAGUUGGUGGGGUAAAGGCUUACCAAGGCAAGGAUGCGUGGCCGAACUGAGAGGUUGAUCGGCCACAUUGGGACUGAGACACGGCCCAAACUCCUACGGGAGGCAGCAGUAGGGAAUCUUCCACAAUGGGCGAAAGCCUGAUGGAGCAACGCCGCGUGGGUGAAGAAGGUCUUCGGAUCGUAAAACCCUGUUGUCAGAGAAGAAAGUGCAUGAGAGUAACUGUUCAUGUUUCGACGGUAUCUGACCAGAAAGCCACGGCUAACUACGUGCCAGCCGCCGCAGUAA